AUGUUAUAAUAGUUAAAAAUUGAUAGUGAAAUUGUUAAUUGAAGGUUUGAAGUCUGAUUCUUUUUUGAAAACUUGAACAGGGGGAUAAUUCCCCCACCUGAUUUUAUUUAUCUAUAGUUCUGGUAACAUGAUUACAAAUGAGUUUACAACGAUUUUUUGUGAAACUAAAGUUUGAAUCUCGAUAUACGUUUGUGCCUUAUAAAGAGAAUAGAUAUAGUAUGUUUUAGUUAGGACAGUCCCAAUGCUACAAUAUAUAUAUAGUUUCUAUACUUAUAAAUUUCUAUAGACAUUAUAUAUAGAAACCAUGGUUUCAAAACUGAAUAUCAUACUGUUUAAAAAAACAAAAAAAAUAGAAUAUCAGGCACUCCAUUUGUGAAUAUGGAGCAACAUGUUUGGUUUGGAGAGUGAACCCGGCGUUAGCACAUUGAUCUGAUGGUUUUGGGGGGAACAAGACCGUCCGUGACUUUAGCUUCCCGGUGGAAUGACCCGGUGGUUCCACACGGCACUGUUACCAGAACCAAAACACGCUUUAAGGUGUCCAGUCCAAUCACACACAUGCAUAGCUAGCCGU
rnacentral:lncRNA from 1 species